rnacentral:rRNA from 1 species
AUGUUAGAACAAAACCUGAAUAUUCUGAGCUGGAACGUCCGUGGCUCGAAUUGUCCUGACCGUCGUACUGCUAUUCAUGAGACCAUCGCUGCUACUCCAUGCCACCUCGUCUAUUUACAAGAGACCAAGCUCGAGCUUGUUAACCCUUCCAUUGCUGCAUUUCUAGGUGGAUACAGACUGAAGAGCUUUGCUCAGCCAGCUUUGGGCACCCGUGGGGGCAUCCUUCUUCUUUGGGACGAGAAUUUUGUCUCUGUCCAUGAUGUUAGCAUCGGAGCCUUUUUCCUUUCAGCCAUGGUCACCAUCACCUCUACUAGUUCAUCCUUCAAACUAACAACUGUUUAUGGCCCGACGCGAAGCAAUCUGCAAGACGCCUUCUUCCAAGAAUUAGUUAGUGAGAAGCCCCCCCAUGGUGAUAAGCUGGUCAAUGGUGAUUUCAACCAAAUAUACCGGGCUAGAGACAAGAACCGUGCGAAUGUUGAUCGGAGUCGCAUCGUCCGCUUUCGCAACGCCCUCAAUGUGUGUGAGUUAAAAGAGAUACACCUUCAAAACCAAAAAUUUACUUGGAGUAAUGAGCGAAACGAUCCAACUUUGAGCAAGCUUGAUUCCUACUUUUGCAAUGAAGAUUGGGACCUUCAGUUCGGCACACACCUCCUGCAUGCUCUUUCCUCAUCACUCUCUGAUCAUUGCCCUCUCCUCCUUGCUAAUGAUAAAGGGCCUCCGAGGACCAAGUCGUUCCGAUUUGAAAACUUUUGGAUCAAAAUGCCCAGAUUCAAGGAUGUUGUCCAAGGUGCUUGGAACCAAGAGGUGAACCAUUUUGAUCCUUACCACAUCCUCUUCCAGAAGUUGAAAAAGACAAGUCAUGUUCUUAGAAAGUGGAGCAAGAUGAUUUUUGCGCAUUCAAAGGUGCAAAUUCACAUGGCCCUCGAGAUCAUUCUUCGCUUGGACGUGGCCCAAGAAUCCCGACCUUUAAGUGCUGAUGAGCGGGACAUUCAUAGGAGACUCAAGCGCAAGGUGCUUAGUUUGUCCGUGCUUGAACGCGCGCGAAAAAGGCAAUGUUCGAGGAUCACCAAUCUCAAAGAUGGAGAUGCU